GAAGGUAUAGCCAGCUCAGUGGUAGAGUGCGUCCCUAGUUUGCAUGAGGUCCUGGGUUCAAUCCCCAGUACUUCCA
rnacentral:tRNA from 1 species